rnacentral:rRNA from 1 species
UACAGAGGUCUCAAGCGUUGUUCGGAUUCAUUGGGCGUAAAGGGUGCGUAGGUGGCGCCAUAAGUCAGGUGUGAAAUCUCGGGGCUCAACCUCGAAACUGCACUUGAUACUGUGGUGCUUGAGUACUGGAGAGGAGAUUGGAAUUUACGGUGUAGCAGUGAAAUGCGUAGAUAUCGGGAGGAACACCAGUGGCGAAGGCGACUACCUGGCCUGUUCUUGACGCUGAGGCGCGAAAGCUAGGGAGCGAACAGG